rnacentral:rRNA from 1 species
UACGGGGGGGGCUAGCGUUGUUCGGAAUUACUGGGCGUAAAGGGCGCGUAGGCGGUCUGCUAAGUUGGAUGUGAAAACUCUGGGCUUAACCCAGAGCCUGCAUUCAAUACUGACAGGCUAGAGUUCUGGAGGGGAUAGCGGAAUUCCUGGUGUAGCGGUGAAAUGCGUAGAUAUCAGGAGGAACACCGGUGGCGAAGGCGGCUAUCUGGACAGAGUCUGACGCUGAGGCGCGAAAGCUAGGGGAGCGAACAGG